AUAACCUAAGGAUCAAUCCUUAGUUAAGGAUAUUAAGGACUAAGUCCUUAAUGUGUUGGCAGCUUCCGAUUGGUGAGGCGAAAGGUUGUGUUAAAAAAAAAAUCAUUCAGAUUCGCUAGGAAAAAAAAAAACCAAACGGCGGAAGGAAAGGCGACUCGUUGACGAACGAUGAUGGCCCCUGGUUUAGCGACUUGAUCGCCGUAAAUCUUGACGCCGAGUAUUUGACAAGGAGAAUCACGACCGUUCUUAGUACUUCCGGCUCCUUUCUUGUGCGCGGAUUCAAUCGUCAAUGGAACCGGAGCUUGGAGUUUUUCCAAAGGGAGAGUCACGGUGAAGGAGUGGGACAGGAACGGUUUAGAACACUGACGAGCUUUUACUACAGAGGCGCCCAAGGAAUCAUUCUCGUAGGAACCAGUGAACUUGAUUCUUAAGCACACCAAGAGAGAGAUAAAGAGCAGUUACAAGAUAAAGAGCAGUUUACAAGAUUCUUCUUCAACCUCCAUGACGUCGAUUCCUGAGCACACCAAGAGAGAGAUAAAGAGCAGUUACAAGAUUCUCUCGCCUGACACGAGAACAAUGGGUGAGCAAAACAAUCUUCUACUUCGAUUUCAUCUAUGCAUUUGCUUUGUAUUUCGGUUUUGUUGAUUGAGAUUAAUGAUCAUAGUUUCAUAGAGUUCAUAGAUGUACACAUAUACAUAUACACAUAUAAAAAUUCCAAAGCUCUAA